rnacentral:rRNA from 1 species
GACGAACGCUGGCGGCGUGCUUAACACAUGCAAGUCGAACGGAAAGGCCCUGCUUUUGUGGGGUGCUCGAGUGGCGAACGGGUGAGUAACACGUGAGUAACCUGCCCUUGACUUUGGGAUAACUUCAGGAAACUGGGGCUAAUACCGGAUAGGAGCUCCUGCUGCAUGGUGGGGGUUGGAAAGUUUCGGCGGUUGGGGAUGGACUCGCGGCUUAUCAGCUUGUUGGUGGGGUAGUGGCUUACCAAGGCUUUGACGGGUAGCCGGCCUGGGAGGAGGACCGGCCACAUUGGGACUGAGAUACGGCCCGGACUCCUACGGGAGGCAGCAGUGGAGAAUAUUGCACAAUGGGCGGAAGCCUGAUGCAGCAACGCCGCGUGCGGGAUGACGGCCUUCGGGUUGUAAACCGCUUUCGCCUGUGACGAAGCGUGAGUGACGGUAAUGGGUAAAGAAGCACCGGCUAACUACGUG